rnacentral:lncRNA from 10 species
UUGGGCUCUUUCAUAUUUCUGGCCCAGUCAGCCUGUUUGGUGAUUAGCAUCUUUGUUUCUUUGGGGUCUCCAGAUCCAAAGAAAUCCUGAGGAAGCACAACAAACAAAAACACUCUGGAUCAGAACUUCCUGUGCCAGCGUUACAUCAGGGUUUUCUAGCAGCAAGGGCGGGCUCCACAUGGCUGAAGCAGGCAACCAGGAGGACCGGCUCCUUCCUGAAGACACCGAUUCUUGGCGGCUCCUGACAAGGAUUGAGAGGAUUUGUGGGGGACAGCCCUGAAGCCCUGAGCCCUCAACUCAAUGAAGGGAUUGUGCUGGUGUAGACCCACAGCCAUCCAGCUCUGUCACUGAUGAAGGUCUGAACUGCCAUACUCUGCCCCUUUGGUGUCAGCCUUAAAGGUCAGUUUUAGGUGAGUUUCAACCAGUGGCUGUAGAUGGGUCCUUUGUUUACCAGUUUCCCCACAUCCUGUCUGAGACCAUUGCUAGUUUUUGUCUGCACCAGUCUUAGGGAAAACAACCUGGACACCGUGGGUGAGAUCACCAGUGGGCUCCAAGCCAGAGCAUGGGCCUGGGACAGGGUGGGUUACCUUGGCAUACUCUAACAUACUCAAACCUCAUUUCUUUUGGGGUGAUCAGACCCAACAGCAGGUCAUGGGGGCGACGAAGUCCAGUGGAGUCCAAGGAAUGAGAAAGACAGUUUGAGAGACAAAAUGGGACCAGGGGGCUAUCACAAGUGUGGAGGCUGCAACAAACAGGUGGUGAGGAUGUGGGGGUUGAAAGGAAACGGUGUAUCAAGUGAAUGAGAAACAUAUGGCUACUUGAGAACAUGGGAAUGCUAGAAGCAAGGAGCAGCAAGUCUAGCAAACAUGCAAGCCCUGCCUCAGCUUCUCUCCCAACACUCAGCUUUUCUUCCAACACAUUUCAUGUGCAAGGUUCUCGUGCCCACUCCUCUUGUACAGUUUGGCAGCCUCAUGGAGCUUCCCUGGUAGGAAAACACAUCUGCCAGAAACAGGUCAUUGUUGGUCUCUCCCCGCUUCUUCCUCUCCUGGAAAAAUUAGAAGCAAAGGAAAUGGCCUCUGCAGCCAUGGGCAGAAAGCAGCCUUUACAAAGGUUAGAUGUGGCUAUUUCAAGUGAGGCCCCUGGGCCUUCCUACUGGAACCUGGGCUUGGCUCCUGGCUGUU